CGGACAGAGGCAAAAAAGAAAAUCCCUUCCUUCUUAGUUUUAGCCAUAGCUCACCCCCAUUUUCCUCCAUGGAAGCCCCCCAAAACCUUCUCCAAAAGCACAAUUAAAACACCUUCAAAACAGUUCCGUUUAGCAUAAAAAAAAAUCAACCAAAACUCCAACUGAAAACCAGUCCAAAAUCACCUGAAAUCCAGCCCUAAAACACUUCAAAUCAGCUCCAAAAUCUCAUCCAAAACCAACCAAAAACGCAGCAGUCUUUCCCCGGGGAAAUUUCACUCAUCCCCGUCAUUUUAACUUCCAAAAACCAGCCGAGAAAAGCAGCGAAAAUCAGCUGCAAACCAGUCCAAAGAAGCUCCAAAUUUAGCUGAAAAAUAGCUCGAAAACAGCCCUCUUUCCUCACAAAACAAUAAUAUUUUGGUCGGGUUCAAGUCGAAUUUUCCGACUAGCUUUUCCCGGCGAGUUUCGAGGUUCCGACGUGGUCUUUUGUUAGCGGGUCUGCUCGUUGUUAGCUUCUUCAGCAUUCCUUUCUUUGUAUACUUUGAAAGCUAAUGAGAGAUUUUUUCUGAUGCAGAAGAAAAUACAAAAUGAGGAGAUGCAAAGAAAUGGGACUGAAUGAUACAAUCACUCCCUUCCGUUAAAUUUAACAUUCAGGUCUAACAUAAAUAUAAUAGAUGGCAAAGGAAUUCUUGAAGAGCUCCAAAGGUCACAAGCAUACUCACAAUAACUCGCCAGUGCCAAAAAUUCAAAGGAAGAGCGUUGACGAAUGUUGACUGAUGAUGUUGCUGUGUUCGAUGGAAGUUGGACUUGAAGACGUACAUGCGUUCCGGUUGCAGCUGUCUCUUGUUCAUGGUAGCCUUAGAUUCAUAAAACUUUGUUUAUGUACUUUUCGUACUGAUGAUGUAUUUAUUUCAUACCAGCUUUGUA